rnacentral:rRNA from 1 species
UACGUAGGGUGCGAGCGUUGUUCGGAAUUACUGGGCGUAAAGCGCGCGCAGGCGGUUCUUUAAGUCAGGGGUGAAAGCCCAGAGCUCAACUCUGGAAUUGCCUUUGAAACCAGAGAACUUGGGUACGGGAGAGGUGAGUGGAAUUCCGAGUGUAGAGGUGAAAUUCGUAGAUAUUCGGAAGAACACCAGUGGCGAAGGCGGCGAUCUGGGAAGAUACUGACGCUGAGGUGCGAAAGCGUGGGGAGCAAACAGG